rnacentral:rRNA from 1 species
AUUGAACGCUGGCGGCAUGCUUUACACAUGCAAGUCGAACGGUAACAGGCCGCAAGGUGCUGACGAGUGGCGAACGGGUGAGUAAUGCAUCGGAACGUGCCCAGUCGUGGGGGAUAACGCAGCGAAAGCUGCGCUAAUACCGCAUACGAUCUAUGGAUGAAAGCGGGGGACCGUAAGGCCUCGCGCGAUUGGAGCGGCCGAUGUCAGAUUAGGUAGUUGGUGGGGUAAAGGCUCACCAAGCCAACGAUCUGUAGCUGGUCUGAGAGGACGACCAGCCACACUGGGACUGAGACACGGCCCAGACUCCUACGGGAGGCAGCAGUGGGGAAUUUUGGACAAUGGGCGCAAGCCUGAUCCAGCAAUGCCGCGUGCAGGAAGAAGGCCUUCGGGUUGUAAACUGCUUUUGUACGGAACGAAACGGUCCUGGUUAAUACCCGGGGCUAAUGGCGGUACCGUAAGUAUAAGCACCGGCUAACUACGUGCCAGCCGCCGCAGUAACAC